CAGUCGCCGCGGGAAUACGUAGGGUGCAAGCGUUAAUCGGAAUUACUGGGCGUAAAGCGUGCGCAGGCGGUUAUAUAAGACAGAUGUGAAAUCCCCGGGCUCAACCUGGGAACUGCAUUUGUGACUGUAUAGCUAGAGUACGGCAGAGGGGGAUGGAAUUCCGCGUGUAGCAGUGAAAUGCGUAGAUAUGCGGAGGAACACCGAUGGCGAAGGCAAUCCCCUGGGCCUGUACUGACGCUCAUGCACGAAAGCGUGGGGAGCAAACAGGAUUAGAUACCCCGGUAGUCCCUGUCUCUUAACA
rnacentral:rRNA from 1 species